rnacentral:rRNA from 1 species
CCUACGGGAGGCUGCAGUGGGGAAUAUUGGACAAUGGGCGAAAGCCUGAUCCAGCCAUGCCGCGUGUGUGAAGAAGGCCUUCGGGUUGUAAAGCACUUUCAGUGGGGAAGAAAGCCUUGGGGCUAAUACCCUCGAGGAAGGACAUCACCCACAGAAGAAGCACCGGCUAACUCCGUGCCAGCAGCCGCGGUAAUACGGAGGGUGCGAGCGUUAAUCGGAAUUACUGGGCGUAAAGCGCGCGUAGGCGGUCUGAUAAGCCGGUUGUGAAAGCCCCGGGCUCAACCUGGGAACGGCAUCCGGAACUGUCAGGCUAGAGUGCAGGAGAGGAAGGUAGAAUUCCCGGUGUAGCGGUGAAAUGCGUAGAGAUCGGGAGGAAUACCAGUGGCGAAGGCGGCCUUCUGGACUGACACUGACGCUGAGGUGCGAAAGCGUGGGUAGCAAACAGGAUUAGAUACCCCGGUAGU